rnacentral:lncRNA from 1 species
CCCCAAUCAAUGGGUUCCUCCAACCAGUGGGUGCCCAAACCAGUGGAUAACCCCAGACCAGUUGAUGCCUCCAAGCAGUCAGUGCCCCAAAAGAGUGGUUGAACCCAACCAGUGGAUUCCCCAAAACCAGUGUUUGCCCCCAAUCAGUGGGUUCCUCCAACCGUUGGGUGCCCCCAAUCAAUGGGUUCCUCCAACCAGUGGGUGCCCAAACCAGUGGAUAACCCCAGACCAGUUGAUGCCUCCAAGCAGUCAGUGCCCCAAAAGAGUGGUUGAACCCAACCAGUGGGUUCCCCAAACCAGUGUUUGCCCCCAAUCAGUGGGUUCCUCCAACCAGUGGAUGACCCCAAACCAGUGGGUCCCUCCAACUAUUGGGUGACGCAAACCAGUGGAUGACCCCAAACUAUUGGGUGCCCCACGCCAGUAGUUGCCCCCAACCAGUGAGUGCCUCCAACCACUGGUUGCCCCAAACCAGUGGGUGCUCCCAACCAAUGGUUGCCCCCAACCUGGGGUCCCUUGUCCUCCACGAUGCCCCAGGAAGCCCUGGUAGCCAUCUGGCCACUGUGGCAUCCUGGUGGAGUAGAAGGUCAGCGUUACCGGGUGCCGCCGAUGCCGUAGGGUCGCGGGAAGAUUCGCUCGUCGGUGUCGCUGCCGCGCAAAUCGACGGUGCCGUGGCAGCGCUACGCGGAGGAGGCGGCGGUGGCCCAGGGCGAGCUCUACGCCAUCCACCCCCUGGAGAAGGUGACCACCCUGGGUGGGUGGGUAGGUGGGUGUUAGCCAAAACCACCGAGGUGGCCCCGUUGGCCGUGUCCCACUUGUCACACCCCAUCUUGGUCCUUCUCCAGCACGGGCGGUUGAUCGAGGGGUUGAGGAAGGAGGUGGGGGAGAACCAGGAGAAGAUUCGGUUGAUGGAGAUGAAGGUCGGGGAGAUGGAGGAGCAGCACCGGGAGCAGCUGGAGAGGCUCCGGAAGCAGCUGGAGGAGGCCAACGCCCGGGCGGCAAAUUUGGGGGCCAGGUUGACGGCGGCCGAGGGCACCAGGAAGAAGGAUCUGGAGAGGCUGAAGAGCAGCGAGGAGAAGAACCGGGAGCUGGUAAGAGUUGGGACCUGGGUGCACCCAUGGGUGACAGGAGGGACCCGGGUGGGAUCUGACGGGGUUCCCCUCGCAGGAGAGACGGCUGUCGGCGCUGGAGAGGGAGCAGGCGGAGCUGCGGGGUGCCAUGGCCCAAACCCUGGGCCACCCUGGCAGGACGGGACGGCGGAUGGUGGCACGGGGCUGGGACGAGAGCGGUGACGACGCUCAGGCCACCAGCGUGUGACCGGCUUGUCCCCAACAUGUCCCCAGUGUCACCCCACCAUCUCCUGGGUCUUUCCCAAGGGGUGUCACCUUCCCCUGGCAAUAAACAGUGUUGGUGUCACCGUCA